UAAUACGAAGGGUGCAAGCGUUGCUCGGAAUUAUUGGGCGUAAAGGGUGCGUAGGCGGAAAGGUAAGUCAGGUGUGAAAUCUCGGGGCUCAACCCCGAAACUGCGCCUGAAACUGCUUUUCUUGAAUCCUGGGGAGGGAAGAGGAAUUUCACAUGUAGGGGUAAAAUCCGUAGAGAUGUGAAGGAACACCGGUAGCGAAAGCUUCUUCCUAAACAGUGAUUGACGCUAAGGCACGAAAGCGUGGGGAGCAAACAGG
rnacentral:rRNA from 1 species